rnacentral:rRNA from 1 species
GACGAACCGAGCGAACGUUGUUCGGAAUCACUGGGCUUAAAGGGCGCGUAGGCGGGUGCUCAAGUCUGUGGUGAAAUCCUCCAGCUUAACUGGAGAACUGCCAUGGAUACUGGGUGUCUCGAGGAAGAUAGGGGUAUGCGGAACGAUUGGUGGAGCGGUGAAAUGCGUUGAUAUCUAUCGGAACGCCAAAGGUGAAGACAGACCGCUGGGCUUGUUCUGACGCUGAGGCACGAAAGCGUGGGGAGCAAACGGG